ensembl:lncRNA
AGAAUGUGAGGAAAAAAGGAAAUAUGAAGAAAAUUGAGAGAAAUUUGAGGGGAAAAUGGUGGAGAAAGUGAGGGGGAAAAAGGCGGGAAAUGUGAGGGGGGAAAAUGGCGGAAAAUCUGAGGGGAAAAUGGAGGGAAAUGUGAGGGGAAAUGGAGGGAAAUGUGAGGGGUAAAAAAAGCAGGAAAUUUGAGGGAGAAACGGAGAGAAAUUUGAGGGGGAAAUGGCAUGAAAUGUGAGGGGAAAAUGGUGGGAAAUAUGAGGGGAAAUGUGAGGGGGAAAUGGAGGGAAAUGUGAGGGGAAAAUGGCGGAAAAUUUGAGGGGGAAAUGGUGGAAAAUGUGAGGAGAAAAGGAAAUAUGAANGGUCCUGAGGGGGUGGGGAUGGAGAUACGGGAGGAUGGAGAGGUUCUGGAGGUGGUUGGAGGUGAUUGGGUGUGGCGGUGGGGGGGUUUGGAGAAGGUUGGGGUGGUCCACCAGGAGUGGUGGUGGUCAACCAAGAGUGGUGGUGGUCAGUCAAGAGUCGUGGUGGUCCACCAGGAGUCGUGGUGGUCAACCAAGAGUCGUGGUGGUCCACCAGGAGUUGUGGUGGUCAAUCAAGAGUUGUGGAGGUCAACCAAGAGUCGUGGUGGUCAACCAGGAAUCAUGGUGGUCAACCAAGAGUCGUGAAGAUCAAUCGAGAACCAUGGUGGCCCACCAAGUGUGGUUGUGGUCAAUCAAGAGCCCUGGAGGUCAACCAAGAGUCGUGAAGAUCAAUCGAGAAUCAUGGUGGUCCACCAAGUGUGGUGGUGGUCAACCAAGGAUCAUGGUGGUCAACCAGGAGUUGGGUGGUCAACCAAGAGCCAUACGGGUCAAUCAAGAAUCAUGGCAGUCAAUCAAGAGUCGUGAAGAUCAAUCGAGAAUCAUGGUGGUCCACCAGGUGUGGUUGUGGUCAAUCAAGAGUCAUGGUGGUCAACCAGGUGUGGUGGUGGUCAACCAAGAAUCAUGGAGGUCAAGCAAGAGUCCUGGAGGUCUACCAAGAGUCAUGGUGGUCAACUUAAAAUUGUGAUGGUCAACCAAGGAUCAUGGUGGUCAACCAAGAGUCCUGGAGGUCAACCAGAAGUCCUGGAGGUCAGCCAAGAGUCAUGAUGGUCUACCAAGGAUGAUGAUCAACCAAGAGUUGUAGUCAACCAGAAGUUCUGGAGGUCAACCAGGAGUCAUGGUGGUCAACCAUAAGUCCUGGAUCUCAACCAAGAGUCAUGGGAAGAAGAUGCUGAGGCGCUCCCUGAAGCCAUGGAGAUGCCUCCACUCAACUGGGAAGACCCAAAAAAUCAUGGAAAGGUCCUGGAGAUGUUCCUGGAAGUUCUGGAGAUACCUCCAGCCAAUCAAGAGUCAUGGAGGUCGACCAAGAGUGAUGGGAAGAUGUUGGGGUGCUCCCAGAAGUUCCUGAGAUGCCUCCAGUCAACCAGAAGCUCCCAAAAAUCAUAGAAAUGAAAUUUUGGGGUUCUUUUGGAAGUUCCUGAGAUACCUCCACUCAAUUGGAAGAUGCCAUAAGUAAUGGGAAUGAAAUUUUGGGGUGUUCCUGGAAGUUCCUGAGAUGCCUCCACCCAACCAGAAUGUCCCAAAAAUCAUAGAAAUGAAAUUUUGGGGUUCUCCUGGAAGUUCCUGAGAUGCCUCCACUCAACCAGAAGCUCCCAAAAAUCAUAGAAAUGAAAUUUUGGGGUGUUCCUGGAAGUUCCUGAGAUGCCUCCACCCAACCAGAACCUCCCAAAAAUCAUAGAAAUGAAUUUUUGGGGUGUUCCUGGAAGUUCCUGAGAUGCCUCCACUCAACCAGAAUGUCCCAAAAAUCAUAGAAAUGAAAUUUUGGGGUUCUCCAAGA